AGCGAACGCUGGCGGCAGGCCUAACACAUGCAAGUCGAACGAACUCUUCGGAGUUAGUGGCGGACGGGUGGGUAACACGUGGGAACGUGCCCUUUGGUACGGAAUAACUCAGUGAAACUUGACCUAAUACCGUAUGUGCCCUUCGGGGGAAAGAUUUAUCGCCAUUGGAGCGGCCCGCGUCUGAUUAGCUAGUUGGUGAGGUAAAGGCUCACCAAGGCUACGAUCAGUAGCUGGUCUGAGAGGAUGAUCAGCCACAUUGGGACUGAGACACGGCCCAAACUGCUACGGGAGGGAGCAGUGGGGAAUCUUGCGCAAUGGGCGAAAGCCUGACGCAGCCAUGCCGCGUGAAUGAUGAAGGUCUUAGGAUUGUAAAAUUCUUUCACCGGGGACGAUAAUGACGGUACCCGGAGAAGAAGCCCCGGCUAACUUCGUG
rnacentral:rRNA from 1 species